GAUGAACGCUAGCUACAGGCUUAACACAUGCAAGUCGAGGGGUAGCAGGGUAGCAAUACCGCUGACGACCGGCGCACGGGUGAGUAACACGUAUCCAACCUUCCCAUAACUCGGGGAUAGCCUUUCGAAAGAAAGAUUAAUACCCGAUAGUACUUUUUCAAGGCAUCUUGAGAAAGUUAAAGAUUUAUUGGUUAUGGAUGGGGAUGCGUUCCAUUAGAUAGUUGGUGAGGUAACGGCUCACCAAGUCUUCGAUGGAUAGGGGUUCUGAGAGGAAGGUCCACCACAUUGGGACUGAGACACGGACCAAACUCCUACGGGAGGCAGCAGUGAGGAAUAUUGGUCAAUGGGCGAGAGCCUGAACCAGCCAAGUAGCGUGAAGGAUGAAGGUCCUAUGGAUUGUAAACUUCUUUUAUAGUAGAAUAAAGUGACCUACGUGUAGGUUUUUGUAUGUAUACUAUGAAUAAGGAUCGGCUAACUCCGUGCCAGCCGCCGCAGUAA
rnacentral:rRNA from 1 species